rnacentral:rRNA from 2 species
AAUUGCAGAAUCCCGUGAACCAUCGAGUCUUUGAACGCAAGUUGCGCCCGAAGCCUUCGGGCCGAGGGCACGCCUGCCUGGGCGUCACGC